UUGACGGGGACCCGCACAAGCGGUGGAGCAUGUUGUUCAAUUCAAUGCAACGUGAAGAACCUUACCUGGAUUUGACAUCCCAAGAAAUCUCGAGAGACCGAGAUGUGCCCCUUUGGGGAACUUGGUGACAGGUGCUGCAUGGCUGUCGUCAGCUCGUGUCGUGAGAUGUUGGGUUAAGUCCCGCAACGAGCGCAACCCUCGCCCUUAGUUGCCAAUAUUAAGUUAGGAACUCUAAGGGGACUGCCAAGGUGACAACUUGGAGGAAGGUGGGGAUGAUGUCAAGUCAUCAUGGCCCUUGACGUCCAGGGCUACAAACGUGCUACAAUGACCGGUACAAAGAGCAGCAAUACAGCGAUGUGGAGCAAAUCUCAAAAAACCGGCCUCAGUUCGGAUUGGAGUCUGCAACUCGACUCCAUGAAGCUGGAAUCGCUAGUAAUCGCGAAUCAGCAAUGUCGCGGUGAAUACCUUCCCGGGUCUUGUACACACCGCCCGUCAAU
rnacentral:rRNA from 1 species